rnacentral:rRNA from 1 species
CCUACGGGUGGCAGCAGUGAGGAAUAUUGGUCAAUGGACGAGAGUCUGAACCAGCCAAGUAGCGUGAAGGAUGACUGCCCUAUGGGUUGUAAACUUCUUUUAUAUGGGAAUAAAAUGUUCCACGUGUGGGAUUUUGUAUGUACCAUAUGAAUAAGGAUCGGCUAACUCCGUGCCAGCAGCCGCGGUAAUACGGAGGAUCCGAGCGUCAUCAGGAUUUAUUGGGUUUAAAGGGAGCGUAGGUGGAUUGUUAAGUCAGUUGUGAAAGUUUGCGGCUCAACCGUAAAAUUGCAGUUGAAACUGGCAGUCUUGAGUACCGUAGAGGUGGGCGACAUUCGUGGUGUAGCCGUUAAAUGCUUAGAUUUCACGCAGACCUCCGAUUGCGAUGGCAGCUCACUGGACUGCAACUGACACUGAGGCUCGAAAGUGUGGGUAUCAAACAGGAUUAGAUACCCUGGUAGUC